CCUAGCCUUUUAAUUGGAGGCCUGCAUGAAUGGCUUGACGAGCGCCCUGCUGUCUCUCUUCCCAUGAACUUUUAAAUUAACUUUCGCGUGCAAAGGCGCGAAUGGCUGAGUUAGACGAAAAGACCCUAUGCAUCUUUACUGAGAGAGAAGAAAGUUCUUUAGCUUGGUUUAGCUGGGGCAGCUGAGGAAAAGGCAAAAUUUCCUUAAUAUAAGUCAUACUGGUGGGUUUAGAUCCAGGCUCUUUAGCGGGCUUGACAAGUAGAAAAGUUACGCUAGGGAUAACAGCGUUAUCCUUCUGUGGAGGUCUUAUCUGCAGGAGGGAUUGCGACCUCGAUGUUGAAUUAGGGAUAUACCAGAAAGGCGCAGAAGCUUUUAUUGUGGGU
rnacentral:rRNA from 1 species